GGCUGUAUAGCCAGUGGUAGAGCAUAUGCUUGGCAUACAUGAGGUCCUGGGCUCAAUCCCCAGUACCUCCA
rnacentral:tRNA from 1 species